AACGCACAUUGCGCCCAUUAGUAUUCUAGUGGGCAUGCCUGUUCGAGCGUCAUUUCAACCCUUAAGCCCUCGUUGCUUAGCGUUGGGAGCCUACCGGGAAACUGCAGGGUUUUCUGGUAGCUCCUCGAAGACAGUGGCGGAGUCGGUCUCACACCCCAGACGUAGUAAACUUUUGUCUCGUCCGCGGUUGGGCCGGUCCCCUGCCGUAAAACCCCCCAAAUUUCUAAAGGUUGACCUCGGAUCAGGUAGGAAUACCCGCUGAACUUAA
rnacentral:misc_RNA from 1 species